rnacentral:lncRNA from 1 species
GAUACAUGCCUUUUCUUUUUAUGACCCAGUUGGGAGGGCAAGCUGGCACCUAUGCUGAGAAUUGAGAUGUCAGCAGUUUAGGAAAUGGCCAAAGCCCUCCUGCAGCACCAGUGACACGUAUCACCGCCCUGCUCCCCUUCUGCCACCCCACUGCGUCCACAGCAACAGCAGUCACGGGCUCAGGACGACAUAUGUGGCUCUCAGCCACCAGCGGAUGACAGAGUAGAGAUAGCAGAGACUCUGGUACAUACGGAAGAGGCGGCUCUCACCCGAAGCAGCCAACGAUGCCGCUGGGCUCUGCCUGCUCACGCUGGGGAGGAGCAGUCUUUGAGGAGUUUUUGAGUGAACACGCCAUAUGCCUGUUUCAUCACGAGUGCAAAUCAGCAGGAGGAAAAAGGAUGUCCUUAAAGUGACGUGAAGCCAUCAAAGGAGCUCUCAGGCCCCCCUUCAGAAGGCAAAGGGAAAAAAAAAAAAACAAAACACCUGAGCAAGUUCCUGACAUCAACAUCUGAAUCUUCCUCCUCUGAAUGCUGUAGAGAUGAAACGUUUCUCUGUCUGCUCUGAGCCUCAGUUUCUUUUUUUCUAAAAUGAGGACGAUGACGAUUCCAGCGUAGGCAACUUCGUCGGGUUGCUAUCUGGACCGCAGCAGGUACUGGAUGUGAAAGUACUCGGUAGGCGACGCAGCCCCAUGCACCUGACAGGGGCGGCCCACGUCAGGUCUCAGCCACGUUCUGGGUUGAGGUCUGUGUAGCCUCAACUAGGUCAUUCCUGGCUGGGCGAAGCAGCCCCCUGCAACGGCCCCUGAGUUUCCAGGACUGGAAAACAGAUGAAUUCCACGUGAUCCCUU